AUUAGAGUUUGAUCCGGCUCAGAACGAACGCUUGCGGCGUGCUUAACACAUGCAAGUCGAACGAGAAAGGGGACUUCGGUUCCUGAGUAAAGUGGCGCACGGGUGAGUAACGCGUAGAUAAUCUACCCUAGUGUACGGGACAACAUCGGGAAACUGGUGCUAAUACCGAAUACGCUUCUUUAAAUGCGAAUUUUUAGAAGGAAAGAUGGCCUCUUCAUGAAAGCUAUUGCACAAGGAUGAGUCUGCGUACCAUUAGCUAGUUGGUGGGGUAAUGGCCUACCAAGGCUUCGAUGGUUAGCGGGUCUGAGAGGAUGAUCCGCCACACUGGCACUGAAACACGGGCCAGACUCCUACGGGAGGCAGCAGUGAGGAAUUUUGCACAAUGGACGCAAGUCUGAUGCAGCCAUGCCGCGUGCAGGAUGAAUGCCCUAUGGGUUGUAAACUGCUUUUAUAUAGGAAGAACUCCUCCUAACGUGUUGGGAGCUGACGGUACUGUAAGAAUAAGCAUCGGCUAACUCCGUGCCAGCAGCCGCGGUAAUACGGAGGAUGCAGGCGUUAUCCGGAUUUAUUGGGUUUAAAGGGUGCGUAGGCGGGUUAAUAAGUCAGUGGUGAAAUCCCUCAGCUCAACUGAGGAACUGCCAUUGAUACUGUUAGUCUUGAGUAUAGUUGAGGUGGGCGGAAUGUGUCAUGUAGCGGUGAAAUGCAUAGAUAUGACACAGAACACCGAUUGCGUAGGCAGCUCACUAAACUAUCACUGACGCUGAGGCACGAAAGCGUGGGUAGCGAACAGGAUUAGAUACCCUGGUAGUCCACGCCGUAAACGAUGAUUACUCGUUGUGUGCGAUAUAUUGUACGCGACUGAGCGAAAGCAUUAAGUAAUCCACCUGGGGAGUACGAUCGCAAGAUUGAAACUCAAAGGAAUUGACGGGGGCCCGCACAAGCGGAGGAACAUGUGGUUUAAUUCGAUGAUACGCGAGGAACCUUACCUGGGCUUAAAUGUAGAAUGACUUUUGCCGAAAGGCAAUUUUUCUUCGGAACGUUUUACAAGGUGCUGCAUGGUUGUCGUCAGCUCGUGCCGUGAGGUGUCGGGUUAAGUCCCAUAACGAGCGCAACCCUUAUCAUUAGUUGCCAUCGGGUCAUGCCGGGGACUCUAAUGAGACUGCCAGUGUAAACUGUGAGGAAGGUGGGGAUGACGUCAAAUCAGCACGGCCCUUAUGUCCAGGGCUACACACGUGCUACAAUGGCCAGUACAGAGGGUCGCUACCUGGUGACAGGAUGCUAAUCUCGAAAGCUGGUCUCAGUUCGGAUUGGAGUCUGCAACUCGACUCCAUGAAGCUGGAAUCGCUAGUAAUCGCACAUCAGCCAUGGCGCGGUGAAUACGUUCCCGGGCCUUGUACACACCGCCCGUCAAUCCCUGGAAGUUGGGGGUACCUAAAGUCCGUAACCGCAAGGAACGGCCUAGGGUAAAACCAAUGACUGGGGCUAAGUCGAAACAAGGUAGCCGUAAAU
rnacentral:rRNA from 1 species